GAUGAACGCUGGCGGCGUGCCUAAUACAUGCAAGUCGAGCGAAGCGGGGACGGGUGAGUAACACGUGGAUAACCUCCUAUAAGACUGGGAUAAAUUCGGGAAAACGGAGCCAAACCGGAUCCUUAUCGAUGAUUCCACGCUGCAUUAGCUAGUUGGUAAGGUCACGGCUUACCAAGGCAACGAUGCAUAGCCGACCUGGUAGGGUGAUCGGCCACACUGGAACUGAGACACGGUCCAGACUCCUACGGGAGGCAGCAGUAGGGAAUCUUCCGCAAUGGGCGAAAGCCUGACGGAGCAACGCCGCGUGAAUGAUGAAGGUCUUCGGAUCGUAAAACUCUGUUAUUAGGGAAGCGGUACCUAAUCAGAAAGCAACGGCUAACUCCGUGCCAGCAGCCGCGGUAAUAC
rnacentral:rRNA from 1 species